rnacentral:lncRNA from 10 species
AGCAAAGAUUAUUUAUUUACUUCAAGAGUUAAGAGGGGCAGUUUGGGGAUAGCACGAGGAGAUAUCAGCUGUGAUGGCUUGGAGAAACAGUGUAAACCGGCAGUGUAAACAAGAGCAGGGCAUGUAUGAGUAGUUGAGAAUGGUGAAUAGGAGUAUGACUAGACAGAAAAUAGUAGGGAUGACAAGUUUUUUUGGGGCACAGUCUAAAUUGGUCCGGUGUCUGGAAUGAGACUGGGGCCUAAUAAAAAGGAGCUCAAAUGGGCUAUACUUUGCAGCAGUCUGAGGACAGGCCUGAAUUCUGAGAGGCGAAAGUGGUAAAAGUAUUGUCCAGUCCUUUUUAAGUUGGUGGCUGAGCUUGGUGAGGUGUGUUUUUAAAAGACCUUUAGUCCAUUCUACUUUUCUUGAAGACGGAGGACCGUAAGGGAUAUAAAGGUUUCACUGAAUACUAAGAGCCUGAAAAACUGCUUGGCUGAUUUGACUAAUAAAGGCUGGUCUGUUAUCGGACUGUAUAGAGGUGGGAAGGCUAAACUGAGGAAUUAUGUCUGACAGAAGGGAAGAAAUGACUACAGUGGCCUUCUCAGACCCUGUAGGAAAGCCCUUUGCUUAUUCAGUGAAAGUGUCUAUUUAGACUAAGAGGUAUUUUAGUUUCCUGACUCAGGGCAUGUUGAGUAAAGCUAAUUUGCCAGUCCUGGGUGGGGGCAAAUCCUCGAGCUUGAUGUGUAGGGAAGGGAGGGUGCCUGAAUAAUCCCUGAGGAGUAGUAGAAUAGCAGAUGGAACACUGAGAAGUUAUUUCCUUGAAGAUAGAUUUCCAUGAUGGAAAGGAAAUGAGAGGUUCUGAGACGCGGGCUAGUGGCUUGUACUAUAGCAUAGCCUGCCUUUGCUGGUGUGUGGCGAUUAGGCCUGUUGGAACUGCCAUCAAUAAAUCAAGCGUGAUCAGGUGAGGAACAGGAAAGAAGGAAAUAUGGGGAAAUGGGGUGAAUAUCAGGUGGAUCAGAGAGAUACAGUCAUGGGGGUCAGGUGUGGUAUCAGGAAUAAUGUGGGAGGCUGGAUUGAAGUCCGGGCCAGGAACAAUGGUAAUUGUGGGACUUAACAAAGAGUGAGUACAGCUGAAGGAGCCAGGGAGCAGAAAGUAUAUGCAUCAGGUAUGAGGAAGAAAAUAGAUUUUGGAAGUUAUAAGAAAUGUAGAGAGUGAGUUGAGCAUAGUUUGUGAUUUUGAGGGCCUCUAAAAGUAUUAAAGCAGCGGCAGCCACUGCACGCAGACUUGAGGGCUAGGCUAAAACGGUAAGGUCAAGUUGUUUGGACAGAAAGCCUGCAGGUUGCGGUCCUGGCUCUUGUGUAAGAAUUCUGACCGAACUAACCAUGCCUAGGAAGGAAAGGAGUUGUUGUUUUGUAAGGGAUUGAGGUUUGGGAGAUUAAUCGGACAUGAUCGGCAGGGAGAGCACGUGUGUUUUUAUGAGAAUUAUGCCGAGAUAGGUAACAGAUGAGGUUGAAAUUUGGGCUUGACUGAAGUAAUGGGGGCUGUCUGUGAAGCCUUGCGGCAGUACAGCCCAGGUGAUUUGCUGAGCCUAAUGGGUGUCAGGGUCAGUCUAAGUGAAAGCAAAGAGAGACUGGGAUGAAGGGUGCAAAGGAAUAGUAAAGAAAGCAUGUUUGAGAUCCAGAACAGAAUAAUGGGUAGUAGAGAGAGGUAUUGAGGAUAGGAGAGUAUAUGGGUUUGGCACCAUGGGGUGGAUAGGCAAAACAAUUUGGUUGAUAAGGCGCAGAUUCUGAACUAACUUGUAAGCCUUGUCUGGUUUUAGGACAGGUGAAAAGGGGGAAUGGUAAGGAGAGUUUAUAGGUUUUAGAAGCCCAUGCUGUAGCAGGCGAGUGAUAACAGGCUUUAAUCCUUUUAAAGCAUGCUGUGGGAUGGGAUAUUGGCACUGAGAGGGGUAAGGGUGAUUAGGUUUUAAUGGGAUGGUAACGGGCAUGUGAUCGGUUGCCAGGGAAGGAGUAGAGAUGUCCCAUACUUGUGGGUUAAGGUGGGGGGAUAUGAGAGGAAGAUGCGAAGGAGGCUUUGGGUUGGGGAGAAGGGCGGCAAUGAGAUGUGGCUGUAGUCCAGGAAUAGUCAAGGAAGCAGAUAAUUUGGUUAAAAUAUCUCGGCCUAAUAAGGGAACUGGGCAGGUGGGGAUAACUAAAAAAGAGUGCAUAAAAUAGUGUUGUCCGAGUUGGCACCAGAGUUGGGGAGUUUUAAGAGGUUUAGAAGCCUGGCCGUCAAUACCCACAACAGUUAUGGAGGCAAGGGAAACAGGCCCUUGAAAAGAAGGUAAUGUGGAUGGGUAGCCUCCAUAUUGAUUAAGAAGAGGACGGACUUACCUUCCACUGUGAGAGUUACCUGAAGCUCAGCAUCCAUGAUGGUCUAGGCGGCUUCCGAGGCGAUCGGGCAGCGUCAGUGUUCAGCCACUAAGCUGAGAAGAUCUGGGAAGGAGUCAGAGAGCCUUGGGCCAGAGUUCCAGGGGCUCUGGAAGUGGCUACCAGGUCAGAAGCUGAGAGGGGUGUCUCAUUCAAUGGCCCCAUAAAGUCCAGCUACUAAGAGAAAAAAAAAUAAAAAGUCAGCAUUCUCAUCCGCCACCCCGGAGAAGGUAUGGAACAUAGCCAUCCCUGGCUCCUCACAGACCAUUUCGUUGUGAACCAUAAACCCCACCCAGGUAACAAAUGUACCAUUUCAUGGUCAGCAAGAGCGGUAACUGUCACUGGAGAAAUAAAACUGAGUUAUUGUUUCCAGUUUCCAAAGAACAGCAACAAGUAUAAAAAAAAAAACCUGUAUGUGAUCCCUGUCCUCUUCCCCUCAAGACACCUGCAGCCGUCUAAUGUUUCACUGAAUCCUGCCACAUAAAUGCAUAGCUUCACUCACUAAUCCAUAUGGCUCCAGAGACCACUGUUACAUGAGAACUUAAACUGAUGGGGCCAGGCAGCCCAGGGCAGCUUAAUCUUUUUUAAUUCAAAUCGACUGAGUCCCAUGUGGCCCGGAGAUGAUACCCUAUAUGCUGCAAUCAGACUGACCUAGACUUCUUGUGCUCUAAAUGAUUAAUGAAACUGCCUCGAGUUUGUUUCUAUGGUGACUGGAAACCCGACCCGGACAGAGGAAUCUGCCAUUCACGGUGAAUGGAACGGAAAGAGGGGAACAGGGGGACCCUGGCUGCUGGUGCUGGUCUUGAAGAGAAGAUGCCCAAAUGCCUCAACUCCUCCCCCAGGCCGCUGCUGUGGGUUCAGAAAUUGCAGUGAGGGGAGAGGAAGAAAAUGGCCCUCCUAGGGAAGUUUUAACUCAACAAAACUGCAGAAUUAUUUUAUUCUCCCAAAGUAUUCCUAAAGCAAAUGACCAAAGAAGAAUUGAGGGAAGUUAGUAUUUAAUUCACAUUUGGUUUCCUAAAAUAAAUACAUGAGUAACUUAAAGAAAACAAAACCAUAAAAUCUUUGAUUCCUUCUUUAGAAUGAAUGGUUUUUGUCUACUAUGAACAUGACAAGAGCUGCUGAGUAUUUCGCAUGACCUGUGCACUCUCUGGUUCUAUGUAGUUUUAUUUGUUUCCCCUCCUUAUUUAACAUAGGCUGAAUUUGGGCUUCAUGCAGCAAAACUUUGCUGUCAGAACUGUCAGAGGCCAGCUGAGCAGAACUUGGGGGGAAUUACAUGCAGCUGGUGGAGAAGCAAUGGAUGUGAAGAGUUUGUGCCAAGGGUUACCUGCUGCCAUCCACCUGGCACGACAGUUGGGUCCUGCUUCAGGAUGGAGUUGAUCCUAGCUUUCUCAGCAGAGCCUCCAAACCCUGCCAGGUGCCCAAGUGCCACAAAAUACGGAACCUUUAGAGAGGUCUCAUACAGGGACCACCAAAGGACAAAUGUGAACAUCUGAAAUCUGAUGCCUCGUCCAAUUGCUAUUGACCGAGGGAUGAUUGCAUUUUAUUCUGAAGGGCUCCAAAAAGCCCCUAUCCUCCAUCCAGAAGGCUCUUUCAGGGACCCGAAGAGUGCUCUGCCCAGGCCUGGCGUGGCGAGUGGACUGACUUCCUCUACGGGAUCGUUGUGAGGAUUAAGUGACUUCUUGCAACAGUGCUUGGCACAUGAGUCUAGACAACAAAGGUUUCUCUUGUUCCCUCUUUGACCUGGGACUUAAUUCGACAAGAGGCCACAGAGCCCAUGUGCUGACUUGGUGAACACAGCAUCCCAAAGAGACUGUGUGGGGGGAGGAGCCAAGAUGGCUGAAUAGGAACAGCUCAGGUCUACAGCUCCCAGUGUGAGCGACGCAGAAG